GGUUGGCGUGCCGUAUGAGGGGGGGCUGUGCCCUCAAUCCCAGCUUCACUCUGCCAUUCUCCAAAAUUGCAGGAUCUCCCCUCAUUUUAAGCCAGCCUCGUGCCAACGCUCCCCAGCGUUGUCCCUGGGGGUUACAGCUUCCAAACCAACGCAACCAGCAGCACCAGACUGAUGGAAUUUGCUGGGUUAUGGCUUGCUUCUUCACCGACCAACCCCCAGUGAAAGAAAUCAGGCUCUGCAUAGGUCACUGCAAAAUCAAAUCAAAUCAAAAUCAAUUAAUCACUGAAAUUCCUUUGCACGGGGCUGGGCUAUCUCUCUGCUCUCUCAAUGCCUGAGCAGCACGAACAGUGUUGCUAGCUUUACCAUGCCCAAGGGGGAGGCAGACAGUGAUUUUUUCCAUCCAUUGGAUGAUGCAACUCAGGAGAAACACUUAUAGGGGCAAGAUGAUGAGGCUCAAAGUUCAAAAGGGUCACCCAGCUCAAAGCAGUGUGGAGAAGAGGGAUGUUCAGCAGGAAGAUAUCAUAGAAUCAGUAAGGUUGGAGAAGACCUUGAAGAUCAUCCAUUCCAACCACCCACCUGCCACCGAUGUUGCAUACUAACCAAUGUCCCCAAGUACUGCAUCUACCUCCAGGGAUGGUGACUGCUUCCCUGGGCAGUCCCUCCUUGCAAAGCCUUCCCAACCUCAAUUUCAUCCUUCCCCCCCUCAUCAUUCCGCAACUGCCUUUUGCAAGCACAGCCACCCCCCAGUGAGCUGUGAGGGGCAUCUCAAAGUGCUUGGAGAAGGAGUCGUCGUCUUUCCCCAGCAAAACGCCUUUGACAGCAUCCAGAUUUAGUAGUGGAACACAAGAGAAGCAUGCAAGCUGUCAGCUGAAUCCCAGGACAUUGGAGGAGACAAAAGGAAGAUUUAUCUCAAUUUAUGGACCCGGAACUUGUUCUCAAUAGAAUUGUCUCAGCAGGAGAAUCCACCCAUUCUUCCCAGCCCUGACUGCUGCUUUGCUCAUGACCCUUGCUGGCAUUUCUCCCUCAAAAAUAGAAACCCAGGCAGUCAAAAAGCAAAGAAACAUCACCAUGGGAUAACCCAACACACUGCGUUUAACCCCAAAUGUUUUGCUUUGCUGUGAUAGCAAAAGGUCUUGCUAUUUUCAUCCCUUUUUAACAAUAAAAAGCCACCGUAAAAUGAAACAGCAGCGUUCCCAAAUCACAGCUCAUCCAGACUCAAGUUUUCCUUAAAGCCAUCAUUUUCAUUUGUUCAAACCCACCUUGGGCUCAGCACGACCCUGCAAGCAGCUAUUUCUGUUUCCAAGGAGCCCUGCCCUCCCACUGCAUUCAUUUCUAGCAUUUUAUUUAGC
ensembl:lncRNA